rnacentral:lncRNA from 12 species
GGACAGCGGGACAUCGGGACAUCGGGACCGGGAUUGAAACACCGGGAGUGAGAUCAGGACCGGUACCGGGAUACCGGGACCAAACCCGGAGCUGAUUGUGGGACAGCAGAACCGA